rnacentral:ribozyme from 1 species
ACGAACAUUCUCUGCUAAUGGGGUAGGAUCCGAGGCUCCUUUAGACUCUCCUUUCUCCUUUAGACUCUCCUACCCAACACCAAUUCUGUCACGUCCUCGUCGUGCAGAGUGGUAACUUGCCCCACGGCAUAACCAAGCUUGGCUACACGGGUUAUUCCCAACCCCUUGGGCGGAUGGUGGAGCAUGGUUAAACGGGAGGGG